AGAUACAAUGACAAUCAGAGAUUUUAUGCUAAAUGGGCAUGUGAUGCUUGGAUGUGUCCCUUCAAACCAAGUCCACGUUUAAAAUUUGCUGAAUAGCGACAUUGUUUGGGAAAAAUACUCUGGCAGAAAAGAGUCUAAACUGUGGAUAGACAUCAGUCAUCACUCAGAGUCUGACAUCUGUCUGUUUAUUUCCAUAAGUGAACUUUGUAUCAACUGACUGAAGGAUCAGUGUUAAAGGAUAACACUACAAUGAAAACAGCUGUGAGUUGUUUCUUUUGAAAAUGACUGCUUGAUGAUAAAGUUUCAAACAACUAUGAAGUGAGUGGAUGCUCUAGAGAGACUAAUUCUUCAAUGAAUGAAUGAUCAUCAUCAUCCUUAUAUUGGAAUAAAAGGAAGGAAGUGACAGCUACAGUCAUGGUAAAAGUAAAUGCAGUCAAAGACCUCUGAUAUCACCUGAAGAGCCAGCAUUCUCAAGAUCUGUAUCAAAUAAAAAUAACAAGGACUGCUAAAAAGACUUUUUAUAACUUGCAAAUGUGCAGUCUGUGACAUAACUGUCUGAUCCAGGUAGUUUAGUGUUGACAAGAUGACACUUCAUCUCUAUAGUAGAGGACACAAGUUUGAAAUGUAUAUGUCAUUGUGAAGGCAAAAUGUUUAUGAAAAUAUUGUGUGUGUUUUCCAAAUAGAGAGACUGAAAGUGGGGAAUCAUCAAUUAGUGUUUUUGGAAUAAGUUACGGACAUCUGAAUAGUGAAGAUCUGUCCCUUUUUUGGAUUGCC